rnacentral:rRNA from 12 species
CGCACCUGAGUGUGAGUGCCCGAUAGCGUCCGAUCUCGGAAGCUAAGCAGGACUGUGUUUGAUUAGUACUUGGAUCGGAGACCAACUUGGAAGACCAGGGGCGA